UUGAGCGGCAAAUUGAAUUCCCCCUCUAUCCCUUCAUUAUCAAUCAUCCGCCCUUCUCUCCUCAAUCAAAAUCCUAUUCACAAACCCUAAUUCUCUAUACUGCAUCUAUGGCGUCAAAAAAUUUCUAUUAUUUAUCGGCAUGUGAUCUGGAUAAAAGGUUUUCUUUUUACAUCGAUCAAAAAACCCUAGACUUCUACCUUUCUUCUUCAUCUCUCUAUUCCAUCUCCCUCAUGCCUUAGUCCCUUGCCAUCCACGUUUUAUCUUCUUUCCAUCGGUCAUCAAAGUGUAAGUCGUAGGUGUUUUGAUUCAUCUGAACUUCAAUAAAAGGUUUCUUUGUUGAACGACAAGCCGAUUUCGCCGGUGAUUAGUUACAGGUAUGAGUUAUCUAUUUCUUAGGUUCUAAGUAUUGUCGUCAGAAAUUUGGGGUUUUUUAAUGCAGCGAUUAGGGUUCCGGUGAGUAGAGUAUGGUCGAUGAUGAGUUGAAUGGAAUAGUUGAGCAUCGAUGUCCAAGGUCGCUCAUAUCAGUAUAAUAAGAGGUUACUGGGUGUCGGAAAAAUCAUGGAGCUCUUCAACAAUGGCUGGACAGCAGAGUGGCAUUUGGUGAAUCGUUCAUUUCGUUGGACAUGGGUAAGAAAACUCACAUUCAUGUGGGACAGUAUUUUAGUUAUUAUUGCCAUGAGUAUGCUGACAUGAACAAAUUUCACGUAUCCAAUUUACGUUUGCAGACUAUCAUAAGCGUUUUGGAUUAGUGCGUUAUACCAUGUUUCAUUUGUAGGUGUAGUAAAACCAUAGUUUGACCUGUUACUACAUCUUAUAGAUAAAAACACAUUCAUAUGAACUAACUACUUUUUUGUUUAUUGGAGACUUGGAGUAGGUUGCUUCACAACACAAGGUUUUGGAAGAAAACCAACAACAUUACAAUCAAGUUCAAAUUCAAAAAGGUCAGUAUUUUGGUUCUUAUCCAGCAUUAGAGGUUGCAACCUCGACCCAUAUGAGCAGGUCAAUUUACUUUCCACUAUUGUUUACUUUCUGUUCCAAUAAGAAGAUCACCUGUAGAUUGAUUUAGAGUUGUGUGAUUUGUUACAUCUUAGUUAAAUCCAAUAUCAUCAGGUUCAUUGAAUAGAUGAGGUGCAUUGGAUUCACCGAUAUACGGGUAUGAGUUUAUCACACGGAAUGGAUCUUGUGCAGACCCAAGAAAGCAGGUUCCUGGAAUUAUUGCGGGUAAGUACAUUAGGUUACAGAUCAACAGUUAAAAAGGUAAUUUAUUAUUGAAAAAGGGCUUCAAUUAGAUUCAUCAAAUGGGGAGGGUUCAGGGUCAACUAAAUUUGGUGUGUGUGAAUGUUUGGGGUACUGGGCUUGGCAUGAGAAGUAGUGCCACAACUUGUGUGCAUUUGUGUGAGUUGGUUGUGGGAUUCUAAGAAUGGUAGGUCAAAAAGUGAGCUUUCUUCUUGUGGCCUUGACCGGGUUUUCAUUCGUAGGUAUGCAUUUCAGUUCAUGAGCUUUCUAUUAAAGAACAGUUCGUAGAAAAAAAGGGUUGGGGACUGGGUUGUAAGAAUAUAUUGAGGUGUGUAUCACACCAAUUCCAGGUUCCAGCUGGGUGCUCUAAAUGGGUCACCUGGGAAAGAAGACAUAUGUCGCUUCAUGCGCGACCGGUUGAGGAUAUCAAGAUGAUGACCAUAUGAGUGAUGAGAAGAAACAUUAUGGUCCAUCUGUUCAGUUUACUAAUGAAACCCACAAUAUGAACUAACGAAUGUACACUUUGUUGAAUUUAUAUUGGUGGCAUGAAACAGUUUGAGCAGAAAUGGCGUGAGGUAACCAGAAAAGGAUGCGACAUCAGCGGUUAGUUCGCCACCAUCUACACCCAGAAGUGUUGCAACAUCCAUACCCAUAUGAUGGUAAUGAACAAUCAUCGUGACAAGGCCAGGUUAAAGGAAAUGCAGAGGUUAGAAAGACAAUGGAUGAAAACAUACAAGAUAUUGUGGAUCAACAAAAUGCUUCUGAUGAUAUGGUUUUUUGAAGACGUCUCAAAAUUUUUAUUGGCUCUUUAAUGAUAUAUAAAGCUAACAUGUUGAUAUUUUAUUGUUAUCAUUAUCUUUUUGUAGGGGUGUGCAUUUCUAACAUAACCUGAAAACACGAUACGAAUUGAACACGAAUUUCUUGGAUU